AACGCACCUUGCGCUCCUUGGUAUUCCGAGGAGCAUGCCUGUUUGAGUGUCAUUACAUUCUCAACUAUACAAGUUUUUACAACAUGUAUGGCUUGGAUCUUGGGAUUUGCGGGCUUUCACAAGUCAGCUAUCCUUAAAUGCAUUAGCAGAGCUUUUGCCGCUAACCUCUGGUGUGAUAAUUAUCUACGCCGUUGAGUUUCGACAUACUGAGGCUUAGCUUCUAAUCGUCCGCAAGGACAACAUUUGACAAUCUGACCUCAAAUCAGGUAGGAUUACCCGCUGAACUUAA
rnacentral:misc_RNA from 1 species